rnacentral:rRNA from 1 species
CCUACGGGAGGCAGCAGUAGGGAAUAUUGGGCAAUGGAGGAAACUCUGACCGAGCAACGCCGCGUGAGUGAUGAAGGUCUUCGGAUUGUAAAGUUCUGUUCUAAGGGAAGAAGAAAGUGACGGUGCCUUAGGAAUAAGCCUCGGCUAACUACGGUCCAGCAGCCGCGGAAAUACGUAGGAGGAGCGCGUUAUCCGGAAUGACUGGGCGUAAAGGGUGGGUAGGUGGUUUGGCAAGUUAGUAGCGUAACUCCAAGGCUCAACCUUGGAACUACUACUAAAACUGUUGGGCUUGAGUGUAGGAGGGGCAACCGGAAUUCCUAGUGUAGCGGUGGAAUGCGUAGAUAUUAGGAGGAACACCAGUGGCGAAGGCGGGUUGCUAGACUGUAACUGACACUGAGGCACGAAAGCGUGGGGAGCAAACAGGAUUAGAUACCCUUGUAGUC